GCACUUUCAGCGAGGAAGAACGCCUAGCGGUUAAUACCCGCUAGGAAAGACAUCACUCGCAGAAGAAGCACCGGCUAACUCCGUGCCAGCAGCCGCGGUAAUACGGAGGGUGCAAGCGUUAAUCGGAAUUACUGGGCGUAAAGCGCGCGUAGGUGGCUUGAUAAGCCGGUUGUGAAAGCCCCGGGCUCAACCUGGGAACGGCAUCCGGAACUGUCAAGCUAGAGUGCAGGAGAGGAAGGUAGAAUUCCCGGUGUAGCGGUGAAAUGCGUAGAGAUCGGGAGGAAUACCAGUGGCGAAGGCGGCCUUCUGGACUGACACUGACACUGAGGUGCGAAAGCGUGGGUAGCAAACAGGAUUAGAUACCCUGGUAGUCCACGCCGUAAACGAUGUCGACCAGCCGUUGGGUGCCUAGCGCACUUUGUGGCGAAGUUAACGCGAUAAGUCGACCGCCUGGGGAGUACGGCCGCAAGGUUAAAACUCAAAUGAAUUGACGGGGGCCCGCACAAGCGGUGGAGCAUGUGGUUUAAUUCGAUGCAACGCGAAGAACCUUACCUACUCUUGACAUCCUGCGAAUUUGGUAGAGAUACCUUAGUGCCUUCGGGAACGCAGAGACAGGUGCUGCAUGGCUGUCGUCAGCUCGUGUUGUGAAAUGUUGGGUUAAGUCCCGUAACGAGCGCAACCCUUGUCCUUAUUUGCCAGCGCGUAAUGGCGGGAACUCUAAGGAGACUGCCGGUGACAAACCGGAGGAAGGUGGGGA
rnacentral:rRNA from 1 species